GCAAGUCGUAUGAGUGUUUUAACUUAAGUGGCGGACGGGUGAGUCAUACGUAAGAAUUUGCCUUUAGCAGGGGGAACAUGUUAGAGAUAAUUGGUAAUACCCCAUAUCCUUUCGAGUGAAACGGAUUUUCCGCCUAAAGAGAGGCUUGCGGCUUAUUAGCUUGUUGGUGGGGUAAUGGCUUACCAAGGCGACGAUCAGUAGCUGGUGUGAGAGGAUGAUC
rnacentral:rRNA from 1 species